rnacentral:rRNA from 1 species
GAUGAACGCUAGCGGCAGGCUUAACACAUGCAAGUCGAGGGGUAGAGGAAGCUUGCUUCCUUGAGACCGGCGCACGGGUGCGUAACGCGUAUGCAACCUACCUUUUACAGAGGGAUAGCCCAGAGAAAUUUGGAUUAAUACCUCAUGGUAUAUAUCAUUCGCAUGUUUGAUAUAUUAAAGUUCCAACGGUAAAAGAUGAGUAUGCGUCCCAUUAGCUAGAUGGUAAGGUAACGGCUUACCAUGGCAACGAUGGGUAGGGGUCCUGAGAGGGAGACUCCCCCACACUGGUACUGAGACACGGACCAGACUCCUACGGGAGGCAGCAGUGAGGAAUAUUGGACAAUGGGCGCAAGCCUGAUCCAGCCAUGCCGCGUGCAGGAAGACGGUCCUAUGGAUUGUAAACUGCUUUUANACAGGAAGAAACACACCCUCGUGAGGGUACUUGACGGUACUGUAUGAAUAAGCAUCGGCUAACUCCGUGCCAGCAGCCG